rnacentral:lncRNA from 1 species
GAAAAAGAAAAAAAAAAAGAGAAACGAAAAGAGAGUGAGAGAAAAUUAGAGUGGAAAAAUAAAGAUCAAAAGGAAAAAAAAAGAGAGGUGCAUUCGACCAUAGAAAAAAAUAAGGGAAAGAAAAUGAGCUUUUAUGCUAAAAUGAAAGAUGUGAGAAAAGCUUUAUUUUCUAAUAAGCAAAUGAUUGUACUCAUGUACAAGAAAGCUUGUUUCUCAACUAACGAACUUGACCCUUCUUUG